CAACCCAAGGACGAAAGCCAAUGCUUUCACGGGUGGAAAAAAACAAGUCUGUUCAACCGUGGGCGGAGGUGAAAGCGACCAUAUCGCGAUCGCCACUACUUACUGAUUCGUGUCCUCACCAUAAAAACACUCUACUCUCUCAGUGCAUCGGUGUGACUGGAUAGCGUACAGAGAGCCGCAGAAAAAAAAGACAGCUACUUGGAGCCCCUCGUGGAGAUCGGUUGGUGUUUAGUAAAGCGCAAGUUGCCGCCUUAUUAUUGUGACUCACUUUUGUAACAUCGUGAACAGAAAAGACUUGAAAUGAAGGGACACGCCUGUGUGAUUCUCUUGAUGUGCCUCAGCUGUGUAUGCGCGACGGCACUUCAAGUAGAGAGGGGAGAUGAACCAGAAGCCGUGCCAGCUCAGAGGGGUACUGAAGAGCUUGCCCGCGACUACCCACCGCCCAAACAAAUGGACUUGCAGACGCUUCAAGAACGUGACGCCGAUGACGAAAGUCUGGUCAAGUACAAGGAAGCUCUACUGGGUAGCACUGCAGAUG